AGUCAGAACCAGAGAGAAGGCAUCUUGAGAAAGACUUGGCUGACCAUUGCUUGCUUUGAAAAUGGCCUGGAGCCUUGAGACAAGGAAUGCAGGUAGUCUCUAGAAGCUGGAUAAGGUAUAAAUUCUAUGAAUGCAGGAUAUUAGCCAUAAAUCAUAGAGGGGUUAAAUGAAAGAAGCUGAAUUUGAACCCAGGCAGUCUGACUCCAGGGCCAUUUCCUUAACUGGCAGAAGUUCUUAUUUUGAUGAAGUCCAAUCUAUGAAUAUCUUAACGGAUUACAUUUUGGAGUCGCAUCAAAAAAUCUUUGCUGAACUCAAAGUCACAAUGAAUCUCUUCAGUGUUUUCUUGCAGAAGGGUCUGCCUGGGGUCCCAGAUCCCAGUCUUUUGGGGAGGGAACAAAGUUUUCUCUUACCUCAUUC
rnacentral:lncRNA from 1 species